rnacentral:lncRNA from 1 species
AUGCAGCAAAUUCUCAGAGUCCAGGCAGUACCAUGUGACCAUCUCCUCUCUCCUCUGCCAUCUUGCCUACCAAUGGGAAGAACUCUUGCUGGGCUUUGCAAGGGAGCAGGUGCUGCUGCUCCCUGCUCCUUCCUAUCUCUUUUGGUCAAGAACGCAGACCAUGAACAUAACACCUUCGUUCUUGUUCCUUGGACCAGUCAUCCAGGGCACGUGGACCCUCCCAGUGGCACACUGUGCCAGCCCAAGGGCUACCACAGGCGACUUCAAAAUGAGCAGGUUCCUUGCAGGGAGAUGUGCAGUACAGCGUCACACCACCAGGGGGCGCUGCCCAGCUGGUAUCUUUCUCCUUCAUGCUCUGCCGGGUUUCUCAAGGAGGCUGGGAAGACAGAAUCAGGAGCCCUGGGAUGCAGGAAAAGCCCCAUGGUGGGUCUGGCAGCAGAAGUGAAGGGCUGAAACCAGAAAGAGGAGGAUCCCAGUAGCUGCAGAAGUCAGAGCCCAAGACCAGGGUGGAGUCGCCAUCCUCUUCUCCCAAGCUGCUGAAAGUGCCGGCCACUGCCGUUAGGAGGAAGUGCCUCAGAGAAAGGACCCGGGAGAGACAAAGCCCUGGGCUGGUUCUCCAGGGAAGGCUUGGGUAAGGGCUCCCUAGUUUGACCUCUUCCUUCCAGAGUCUUCAGUGGGAUGGCACUGGGAACAGAAAGUCUGGGGAGUCCACCUCUGCCCCCUGCCUGUACCACUGGGCACUUGCAAAGCUCUCCCUUAGGGCCAGGCACUGCUCUGGGCGCCUGCACACAUAUUCUCAAUUUCCACAACCACUUCAGGGGGAAGGUAUAAUUAUUACCUCGGUUUUAUGCGUAAGAAGAGGGAAGCACAGAGAGGUUCCGUGACUCAUCCAAGAUCACUCCAUUUGUAGAGGGUAGAGCUGGGGUUGAACACAAGGAAUCUGCCUCAAGGAGAGGCAGAUCUGGUCAUUAAUAACAAUAACAAGCAAAGCCAUUUGACCAGUACCUCCUGUGUGCCUGGGGCUUCAGUCCUCACAGCAAGGCUGGGACGGGGGCACUCCUCAUUUCAUAGAUGAGUAAAUCCGAGCUUAGCAGGCGGCCAGGGGUGAGGCGCCUGCAGAAUCUCACAGAUGCUAGGUCUCCCUAAAACGGAAGGGUCCACUCUCAGCCUCUUUGCAGGCCUCUUUGACUCGCUGUGUGACAGUGGGAAAGCACAUUCCUCUACAGAGCCUCAGUUUCCCUAUGGCCUAGGCCUUCUAUUCCUGGCCUCCCUGCUCCAGCAAGUGACGGAGUGGCUGGGAUUGCGACGUUGUGGGAAUGUGCGUCUCCUCCGUGAAGAGCCUUUGCCUCCCCC